GCGCGAAAACUUUACAAUGCUGGCAACAGCGAUAAGGGAACCUCGAGUGCCAGGUUACAAAUCUGGCUGUCGAGAUGCCUAAAAAGCAUUUCAUAGCAAGGGCCGGGCAAGACCGGUGCCAGCCGCCGCGGUAACACCGGCGGCUCGAGUGGUAACCGUUAUUAUUGGGUCUAAAGGGUCUGUAGCCGGCCGGAUAAGUCUCUUGAGAAAUCUGGCAGCUUAACUGUCAGGCUUUCAGGAGAUACUGUCUGGCUCGAGGCCGGGAGAGGUGAGAGGUACUUCAGGGGUAGGGUGAAAUCUUGUAAUCCUGGAAGGACCACCAGUGGCGAAGGCGUCUCACCAGAACGGACCUGACGGCAAGGGACAAAGCUAGGGGCACGAACCGGAUUAGAGACCCCG
rnacentral:rRNA from 1 species